rnacentral:ncRNA from 2 species
AUACUGUACUAGGGGAGUCAAUCAGAUUGGCUGAGAGUGAACUAAUAGUUUAGACCCUUUGAACCUGUACGUUCACACGUGCGUAGGAAGAGUACUCAUUUGAGAAA